ACCUACGGGACGCAGCAGUGGGGAAUAUUGCACAAUGGGCGCAAGCCUGAUGCAGCAACGCCGCGUGAGCGAAGAAGGUCUUCGGAUCGUAAAGCUCUGUCCUUGAGGAAGAAGGAGGACGGUACCUGACUAAGAAGCCCCGGCUAACUACGUGCCAGCAGCCGCGGUAAUACGUAGGGGGCAAGCGUUAUCCGGAUUUACUGGGUGUAAAGGGGGCGCAGACGGCAGCGCAAGCCAGGAGUGAAAGCCCGGGGCCCAACCCCGGGACUGCUCUUGGAACUGCGCGGCUGGAGUGCAGGAGGGGG
rnacentral:rRNA from 1 species